rnacentral:rRNA from 1 species
AGAGUUUGAUCCUGACUCAGAACGAACGCUGGCGGCGUGCCUAACACAUGCAAGUCCAACGUGAAAGGGGAGCAAUCCCCCGGUAGGGUGGCAAACGGGUGAGUAAUACAUGGGUGAUCUACCUUAGGGAUGGGGAUAUCCUUCCGAAAGGAGGGGCAAUACCGAAUAUUGUCCGGAGCCGUGAAGGGUUCCGGGGAAAGGGAGGCCUCUGAUACAAGCUUUCGCCUUAAGAUGAGCCCAUGGCCCAUCAGCUAGUUGGUAGGGUAAAGGCCUACCAAGGCUACGACGGGUCGCUGGUCUGAGAGGACGACCAGCCACACUGGCACUGAGAUACGGGCCAGACUCCUACGGGAGGCAGCAGUGAGGAAUAUUGCGCAAUGGGGGAAACCCUGACGCAGCAACGCCGCGUGUGGGAAGAAGGCCUUCGGGUCGUAAACCACUUUUGCACGGGACGAAAAAGGGAUAUCGAACAAAUAUCCCCGAUGACGGUACCGUGAGAAUAAGCCACGGCUAACUCUGUGCCAGCAGCCGCGGUAAGACAGAGGUGGCAAGCGUUGUUCGGAACUACUGGGCGUAAAGAGUCUGUAGGUGGUUUGUCAAGUCUUUGGUGAAAGGCCGUAGCUUAACUAUGGGAAUGCCAAAGAGACUGGCAGGCUGGAGGCUGGGAGAGGGAAGCGGAAUUUCUGGUGUAACGGUGAAAUGCGUAGAUAUC